UCCAGAUGAGGCCUCACCUGGGCUGAGCAGAGGGGCAGGAUCACCUCCCUAACCUGCUCCAAUUCUCUUUCUAAUGCACCCCAGGACACCUUUGGCCCUCCAGGCCACCAGGGCACUGCUGGCUCAUGGACAGCUUGUCCACCAGGACCCCCAGGUCCUUGUCCUUCUGCUUUCCAGCAGGUUGGGCCCAGCCUGCAGCAGGGGUUGUUGCUCCCCAGGGGCAGGACGCUGCACUUGCCUUUGUUGAACUUGAGGGAAUUCUUCUCUGCCCAUCUCUCCAGCCUGUUGAGGUAUCUGUGAGAGGCUGCAGAGGCCUCUGGGGUAUCGGCCCCUCCUCCCAGCUUUGUGUCAUCAGUGAAUCCUGAGGAAACCUCUUGCUGGGGAGUAAGGUGGGAACCUGUGCCUCAGAGGUUUUCAGCUUGGAGGUUGCUUUGCCUGUGCAUCUGUGAAAAAAUGGGAUCUUCCUCUAAACUUUUCCCUUCGUGCCUAAGGCUCCUGGGGCUUGUCUGUGGAGCAGCUGUGGGGGACUUCCCAUCUCCUGAGAGCCUUUUGUCUCCUGUUCAGAAAAGGCAGAAAAAGUCAGCCCCUUCUUCUCCUCUGUGUGUGUCUGCAAAUGAAAAAUAAAAAAGGAAAUGAGCUCAUUUCAGUGCUAUCAGUCAAGUUUUAAAGUGAAACUACCUCACAACAUUGGAUGUUGUCAGCACUCUCAAAACUAAAUCUGUUGUCAGACUAGUGAUGAGUCAAGGGUCCCUCUGUCUUCACAGUUGGUUGCCACCCUGACAGCUUUCACCAAGACACAGUUUCAGUCUGUGCCACUUCUCUGCCAGCACAGCUCACAAAGGGACCUCUCGUGCAGAGGUUUCACACUGCCACAAUGCAGCAUGCAGAUCCUGGAGUGGAAAUGGUUCAGCCUCCCCCAGAAAUAUUCUGGUGGCUGGAGGCUACGAGAAACCACCACAAGGCUCUAAAAAUGGACAUGUAAUGGCUGCGUGUGUGCUUGUGUGUGUGUGCAUGUUUGGGGAAGGGAAAGAACCUGCUCCUAUAGCUCUGCCACCUCCUGAGGUCUGGACUGCUCUGUUGAUCUGUUCACAGUAAAGUCUCUUACUUUCGUGCCUUUUCGUUUUCCUGGAUAUUUUGAAGAGAAACCUAAAUCACCUUUUAUUUUUUUUUUCUUUUUCUUUACUAUAGCGAAGACGUGGCCCCAGGAUGCACCAAACACACCCAAUGGCUUAUUCACAUAAAUCACUGGCAAUUCAAAAGGUAGAGGAGAUCCUACACUUAUUACAUUGAACAUACCACCUACCUUUUCCAAAUGUAUAGUUCUAAUCUUUAGAGUGAAUGAAAUACCAAAACACACUUAAAAGCUCUAAAAAUUUCAAGGGAGAAUGUUUCACACAAGAUAUUCUAUUCCACCUUGGUUCAGUCCCUGCAUUCCCUUAUUAAAUCUUUUUCUCUUUUGCUCUAAGUUCAGAGAAUCACAGAAUCAUAGAAAGGUUUGGGUUGGAAGGGACCUUAAAGAUUGUGUUCCAACCCCUCUGCCAAGGACAGGAAUACCUCCUACUAGACCAGUUUGCUCAGAACCCCAUUCAACCUGGUCGUGAACACUUCCAGGGAUGGGGCAUCCACAGCUUCCCUGGGCAGC